UACGAAGGGGGCAAACGUUGCUCGGAAUUAUUGGGCGUAAAGCGCACGUAGGCGGCGCUGCAAGUCCCAUGUGAAAGCCCACGGCUUAACCGUGGAAGUGCAUGGGAAACUGCAGUGCUUGAGUACUUAAGAGGCUCGCGGAAUUCCCGGUGUAGAGGUGAAAUUCGUAGAUAUCGGGAGGAACACCAGUGGCGAAGGCGGCGAUCUGGGAAGAUACUGACGCUGAGGUGCGAAAGCGUGGGGAGCAAACAGG
rnacentral:rRNA from 1 species